rnacentral:tRNA from 1 species
GGUUGUAGCUCAGUGGCAGAGUGUUUGCCUAGCAUGUGUGAGGCACUGGGUUUGAUCCUCAGCACCA